GAUGAACGCUGGCGGCGUGCCUAAUACAUGCAAGUCGAGCGAACGGACGAGAAGCUUGCUUUUCUGAUGUUAGCGGCGGACGGGUGAGUAACACGUGGAUAACCUACCUAUAAGACUGGGAUAACUUCGGGAAACCGGAGCUAAUACCGGAUAAUAUUUUGAACCGCAUGGUUCAAAAGUGAAAGACGGUCCUGCUGUCACUUAUAGAUGGAUCCGCGCUGCAUUAGCUAGUUGGUAAGGUAACGGCUUACCAAGGCAACGAUGCAUAGCCGACCUGAGAGGGUGAUAGGCCACACUGGAACUGAGACACGGUCAAGACUCCUAAGGGAGGCAGCAGUAGGGAAUCGUCCGCAAUGGGCGAAAGCCUGACGGAGCAACGCCGCGUGAGUGAUGAAGGUCUUCGGAUCGUAAAACUCUGUUAUUAGGGAAGAACAGAUGUGUAAGUAACUGUGCACAUCUUGACGGUACCUAAUCAGAAAGCCACGGCUAACUACGUG
rnacentral:rRNA from 1 species